rnacentral:rRNA from 1 species
GGGSAUGCGCWGCUUAMCRUGCAGUCGAGCGGAUGAAGGGAGCUUGCUCCUGGAUUCAGCGGCGGACGGGUGAGUAAUGCUUAGGAAUCUGCCUAUUAGUGGGGGACAACAGUUGGAAACGACUGCUAAUAYMGCAUACGCCCUACGGGGGAAAGGAGGGGAUCUUCGGACCUUUCGCUAAUAGAUGAGCCUAAGUCAGAUUAGCUAGUUGGUGGGGUAAAGGCCUACCAAGGCGACGAUCUGUAGCGGGUCUGAGAGGAUGAUCCGCCACACUGGGACUGAGACACGGCCCAGACUCCUACGGGAGGCAGCAGUGGGGAAUAUUGGACAAUGGGGGCAACCCUGAUCCAGCCAUGCCGCGUGUGUGAAGAAGGCCUUUUGGUUGUAAAGCACUUUAAGCGAGGAGGAGGCUCUUCUAGUUAAUACCUAGGAUGAGUGGACGUUACUCGCAGAAUAAGCACCGGCUAACUCUGUGCCAGCAGCCGCGGUAAUACAGAGGGUGCGAGCGUUAAUCGGAUUUACUGGGCGUAAAGCGUACGUAGGCGGCUUUUUAAGUCGGAUGUGAAAUCCCUGAGCUUAACUUAGGAAUUGCAUUCGAUACUGGGAAGCUAGAGUAUGGGAGAGGAUGGUAGAAUUCCAGGUGUAGCGGUGAAAUGCGUAGAGAUCUGGAGGAAUACCGAUGGCGAAGGCAGCCAUCUGGCCUAAUACUGACGCUGAGGUACGAAAGCAUGGGGAGCAAACAGGAUUAGAUACCCUGGUAGUCCAUGCCGUAAACGAUGUCUACUAGCCGUUGGGGCCUUUGAGGCUUUAGUGGCGCAGCUAACGCGAUAAGUAGACCGCCUGGGGAGUACGGUCGCAAGACUAAAACUCAAAUGAAUUGACGGGGGCCCGCACAAGCGGUGGAGCAUGUGGUUUAAUUCGAUGCAACGCGAAGAACCUUACCUGGUCUUGACAUAGUAAGAACUUUCCAGAGAUGGAUUGGUGCCUUCGGGAACUUACAUACAGGUGCUGCAUGGCUGUCGUCAGCUCGUGUCGUGAGAUGUUGGGUUAAGUCCCGCAACGAGCGCAACCCUUUUCCUUAUUUGCCAGCGGGUUAAGCCGGGAACUUUAAGGAUACUGCC